CGAGAACCAGCUCUCAACCAGUCGACCGAUGAUGUCAGGAGUACCGCAAGGAUCAGUGCUGGGCCCUGCCCUCUUCAACAUCUAUAUGGUAGACUUUCCAACCACCACCAAUACAGAGUGCUACAUCUACGCAGAUGAUGUAGCAAUCACUGCCGCAGGGAAAGGCACUUGCAUGAAAGCUAGACUCCAAAGACAUCUCGGCCAGGUCCAACAAUGGAGCAGGAAAUGGAAAAUGGAGUUUAAUCCGGCGAACACACAGACCUUCACCAGUGGCUUCAAGACUCCGCCAGGCAUACUAGAGCUUGCAGGACAGCGGCUACCCUGAAGGUCCAAGGUUACCUAUCUUGCACUCAUCUACGACAAGCGACUAGUAUGAAACGACUAAAUGACAGCCACAACAUCCAAGGCAAGAUACCUGCUCCAGGCCUACUAUCCUCUGCUGACAGCGCCUGCCAGAAACACAAGCUGGCAGUAAUCCAGAAUCGGAUACUGAGGAUAGCAGCCAAGGCCCCGCACUUUGUCAGAAAUUCCACCCUGCAAAGAGGCCUGAAAACAGAUGACCUGCUGGACCAUAUCCGGAACUUAACAUUAAAGUUCCUGGAUAACACCCGGCAAAGCAAGAAUCCCACAGUCCGGGUUUCUUGCAAAAAGAAAUUCCCCUGUGACCGCAGACCUCUCCCUGCGGACACCGUCUAAGAAAAAGACGUGACCACAUGCGAUGACCAGUUCCUGCACCACAUCGAGGACCAUGGGCUAACUUUAAGUUA